GAUGAACGCUGGCGGCGUGCCUAACACAUGCAAGUCGAACGAAGCUUGACGGAUGAUUUCUUCGGAAUGAAACCAGAUAUGACUUAGUGGCGGACGGGUGAGUAACACGUGAGCAACCUGCCUUUCAGAGGGGGAUAACGGCUGGAAACGGUCGCUAAUACCGCAUGAUGUGUUCGGAUGGCAUCAUCUGAACGUCAAAGAUUUAUCGCUGAAAGAUGGGCUCGCGUCUGAUUAGAUAGUUGGUGGGGUAACGGCCUACCAAGUCUACGAUCAGUAGCCGGACUGAGAGGUUGAACGGCCACAUUGGGACUGAGAUACGGCCCAGACUCCUACGGGAGGCAGCAGUGGGGAAUAUUGCACAAUGGGGGAAACCCUGAUGCAGCAACGCCGCGUGAAGGAUGACGGUUUUCGGAUUGUAAACUUCUUUUCUUAGUGACGAAGACAGUGACGGUAGCUAAGGAAUAAGCAUCGGCUAACUACGUG
rnacentral:rRNA from 1 species